GUGCUUGCUUUGGCAGCACAUAUGCUAAAAUUGGAACUAUACAGAGAAGAUUAGC
rnacentral:snRNA from 1 species